AGAAAAGGACUUCAUAAUAGGCUCACUCCGGCACUUCGUGUGUCCAAUAUGUAGGUCACUUAGUAAGAAAUAAAGAUUGAUUAUAACACUAUUAAGAUUAGAUAUUAACAAAUAUUAUUAUAGACAAUAUUUUUAUUAAACAAACUUCAUUUUAUCUUACAAUAUAUUUUACAAUAGACUUAUAUAUGAGAAAUAAAAUAUCAUACAAACAUAUGAGAACUUCGAACUAAAAUUACAUGAUAUUAAAGGACUUAAGGAUUUUCCUUUUGGGAAAUCCCUUAAAAACUAAAUGUAAAUAAAAGAAAGAAACUUACAUGCAAACUUGGAUAUGUUACAACGUUUAUACAACAAAGUAGAAGAAUAGCUUCAAGAACUUUUAAGUGAAUGGGUUGAAAGAGUGAGAGGUGAGAGGUUUUUUGCUUCUUAGUAGUUGUGUCUAACUUCUAAACAAAUGCUUCUUUAUAUAGGGAAUUUGAAAGGAAAAAUAUCACCGAAACUAUUGGAAAAUGCACAAGUGUCCUUGAUAAACUUGUCUCCAUAAAUUUAGACGGUGGAAAUUUGUGGUGGAUGUCUUUUCCAUCAAUGCUUCAUAAUGGAAGUUGUUGCCUUCUUUGAAAUGAAAUUUUGUAAUAGUAAAUGUGUUGUCUAUCAUUGUUGACUAAAAUUAUCAUUUUUAUUUUAUUUUAUUUUAUUAUUUUUCUAUCUUCUAGAGAAUCUUCAAUAGUAAAAAAUCUUCAAGUGACAAGAUUGUGUCUGGCAAUCGAAUCAAAUGAAAAUGAACCAUCUGAUUGAUUGUUGUCUUCAUUUAGAUCAAAUUGAUUUUCUGAAAUAUUGCUUCCACUUUCUUCGCUAGAUACAUUAUCAUUUGGACAUGACAAAUAAGCUCACAUAGGAGUGUCUCUUCUUUGUUCAUCUUCAACCAUAGUUUUUUUUUUGAAUUAUCAUCUAAAUCUGGAAUCAUAGUCUUUAAUAUUUCUUGAACCAUUUUAUUAACUGCUUCUUGAAGAGUUUUUUCAUCGAAUCUUUUUUUUUUUGGAUUUUUUCUAGAGGAAGAGGCUUCAUAAUAAUUUUUUUUAUGGUCUUCUAUUUCAUUUGUAAUAUUUAGGAGGCUUUCUUGAGAAUAAUUUUUAUUUUGAGCAUCUUUAAAAAUACAGGUAUCUGGGUUUUCUGGGAUUAGGGUAAAAGAGGGAAAUUCUGGAUUAUUUGGAUCGGAGGAAAAUGGAGUCCCCUGUGUCUCCUUACUUUUGUUUGUAGAGGAUCAGGAGUCCUCUAUGUCUCUAAAGAAUUUAGCAAUCCCAUUGCUAUCACCGGAUUUGAUAAGUCUUUACCAAUUUUUGAGUCGUUGGACUCACUGGACUAGCUAGUAACUUCUCUGGCUUACUAGUACCUUAUGUAUCACUCAUUGGGGAGUGAGUACCCAUCUUACUCUUCUUUCCGGGAUCAAAAGCGGAUCCGAUAGAAAGAUUUAUUACUUCUGUUUGUUGAGAAUGAAAACUUUUUUAUAAAUUGUUAAUUCUAUUAAUUAGAUCUUGUUUUUCGUUUCUAAGCUUGUAGAUUUCUUCAUUUAAAAGUUUGUAAUUAUUUUUCAUGGUUUCAUAGUGAUCACAAAUAAAAAUUUGACUUGAAUCUCUAGUUACUGAAUAAGUAACCAGAGGUUCUACAUAAUGCUUAA